rnacentral:rRNA from 1 species
AAUCUAUACUCGAUACUUUCAUCUAAUUUAGUCAAUUUCUCUGUAUAGUUUUUUCUAAAAAGUUGAUAUUCUUCUUUACUAAUAACAUCUUCUUUUAGAUCAAGGUAUAGGGAAGAUAAGAGUUCUUCUGUCAUUGCUUUUUCUCGUUUUAGUAUAGGAAUUUGAUUGUCUUUCAAAUUUUUAUUUAUAUCUAUACGCUGAACUUUAGAAUAUAGAUUUUCAUUAAAUUCAAUGUAGGACUUCAUUAUUUUAGAUACUGCUUUUAUCAAGGUUUUUUCUUUUAUGCUGUGUCUUGUGCAAGAUUUUUCCUUGUUGUACUUUGAACAGAUAUAGAAUAUCUCUUCUCUUUUUUUAUACUUUACAGUCCUUCUAAUCAAAGAACUUCCACAUUCUUUACAAAAAAGCAUUCCUGUAAAAAUAUUAAUUUUGUCCUUUCCACGAGAGUUAUUCAAAUCUCUUUUAAGCAUCGUAUUUGCAAUAGUAAAAACUUCUUUACUUAUAAUUGCUUCAUGGGUAUUUUCUGCUCUUAUCCAUUCUUCUUUCUCUUUUUCUAUCUGCUUUUUAUUUUUGUAACUUAAAGUAACACUCUUUCCUUGUAAGGUAUUUCCAAUAUAUACUUCAUUUUCUAUAAUUCUAUUUACUGUCUUUGCUGACCAAGUUCCACCUUUUGUAUUUUGAAAUCCAUUACACUUAAAUCCUUGACUUUCUUUAUAUUUUCUUGGAGUUAAAACUCCUAAAUGAUUUAGUUCAUCUGCAAUUGCCUUUGAGGAAUAUCCCAAGAGUUUCAUAUCAAAUAUAUUUUUGAUAAUAUCCGAUAUCUCUUUAUCAAUCACUAACUUGUUUUUAUUCUCCUCAGACUUUUUAUAUCCAUAAGGUGCAAAAGCACUGAUAAAGUCUCCUUUUUCUCUUUUUAUCUUUUGAGAGCUUUUUACCUUAUUGGAAAUAUCUCGGCAAUAACUAUCAUUGAUGAAGUUUUUUAUAGGAAGUAUAAGGUGUGUAUCAUUUAUAUCUGCACUUUUACUAUCGUAAUUGUCAUUUACUGAUAUAAAUCUUAUACCGUUUUCUGGAAAUAUUCUUUGAAUAUAUUUUCCUGCUUCUAUAUAAUCUCUUCCGAAUCUCGAUAAGUCCUUUACAAUAAUUGUAUUAAACUUUCUAGCAUAGGCAUCCUUUAUCAUUUCUUUAAAAUUGGGACGAUCAAAAUUUGCACCUGAAUAUCCAUCAUCUACAUACUCUUUGACUAUUGGAAUUUGAUUUCUUCUUGCAUAAGAGUUUAUAAUUUCUCUUUGAUUGGAUAUCGAGUUACUUUCUGUUUUUUCGCCAUCUUCUUUUGAUAAUCUUAAAUACAUAACUGCCAAAUUUUCUUUUGGUAAAUUGUUUUUAAACAUAAAAAAGCCUCCUUUAGUUCAAUUUACAUACAAUAAAUCAAACCAAGGUUAGGCUUCCACAAAAAUAUUAUAACGCUCCUUAUAUUUUUUGUCAGCCCCUAAUAGACAGAAAAUUUUUCUUUGAUGUAUUCCUCUACUAAAUUUUCUAAACUAAAUCCAUUCUCAUUAAAUUUAACUUCUAUAUUCCAACCAUCAAUUUGAUUUAUCAUCUGUUUAUCUUUUUUAUCUGUUUUCAUUUCUGUAUUUAUAUUAUGUUCAUCACACAUAAUACCUUCUCCUUAUCUUCAAUAUUUUUAAGUUUUUUGACAUUAACAGGCGUGUAGGUCACGACAUUGGAAUUUCACCACCGCCCCUUUUCAAGAUGAGCCGGCAACAACUGUAGAAGUAUCAUUAUCCCCAUUUGCUUCAAUGCAUCAGUUUCCUAGGCUGAAUAUAUAAUUUCUUUUUGUCGCUCGUUUUCUUUUAUCCUUCUUUUAACUAGAGUAUUUAUUUAAACCGAAACUCUUAUCAGCAGAAAAGUCAUGGCGAAGAAAUUAUAAAGCUCCACAAAUGGUUAAUGUCCUGUCUUGGUCUAUUCAGUUGUCAAGGUUCAAAUCUAUAUAUAACGAGGUUUUAAAAGUCCCUCUAUAUAUAA